rnacentral:rRNA from 1 species
AUUGAACGCUGGCGGCAGGCCUAACACAUGCAAGUCGAACGAGUGGCGGACGGGUGAGUAAUGUCUGGGAAACUGCCUGAUGGAGGGGGAUAACUACUGGAAACGGUAGCUAAUACCGCAUACCAUCAGAUGUGCCCAGAUGGGGUUAGCUAGUUGGUGGGGUAACGGCUCACCACGGCGACGCACCCUAGCUGGUCUGAGAGGAUGACUAGCCACACUGGAAAUGAGACACGGGCCAGACUCCUACGUGAGGCAGCAGUGGGGAAGAUGUCGCACUGGGCGCAAGCCGGAUGUAGCCAUGCCGCGUGUAUGAAGAAGGCCUUCGGGUUGUAAAGUACUUUCAGCGGGGAGGCGUUACCCGCAGAAGAGGCACCGGCUAACUCCGUGCCAGCCGCCGCGGUAAUAC